UUCGCAAUGCCCGAAAGGGUGACGAAGCGACGCCGCGUGGGUGAGGAAGGCCCUCGGGUUGUAAAGCCCUGUCAGGAGUUAAGAAAUGUAAGUGCGCUAAUAUCGCAUUUAUUUGACGAAGGCUCCAAAGGAAGCCACGGCUAACUCUGUGCCAGCAGCCGCGGUAAUGCAGAGGUGGCAAGCGUUGUUCGGAAUUAUUGGGCGUAAAGAGCACGUAGGUGGGUUUGUAAGUCAGAUGUGAAAGCCUUCUGUUCAACGGAAGAAUGCCAGCUGAUUCUACAGGGCUUGAGUACGGGAGGGGAGAGUGGAACUUCUGGUGGAGCGGUGAAAUGCGUAGAUAUCAGAAGGAACGCCGGCGGCGAAAGCGACUCUCUGGCCCGAAACUGACGCUGAGUGUGCGAAAGCUAGGGGAGCAAACGGGAUUAGAUACCCCGGUAGUCCUAGCCGUAAACGAUGGGCACUAAGUAGAGGGGUUUU
rnacentral:rRNA from 1 species